CAAUGCAAUCACGUCAGCCCCAGCCGCCGGCUCCCUCUGGGAGGUGCCUGCGCGUUAGGGAGAAAGAGCCAUUCGGGAAAAAAGAAUAGAUGCGAUAUAAAAAAGCUGCCGGGCAGGGGAAGGGAUAGUCUGUGCUGCAAACUCGCGGGCCGGGAUGAGCGCGGAGGAAAGCCUGCCAGGAGCGAGGUCCUCCUGCUCCGCGCCGAGUGUUCGGUGUGCGGGCUCUGCGUGGGCCCUCGGCUGACAGCUGGGAGCAUUUUGGCAGCGGUGCUUGUUGUGGAAACACCGGCGAAUCCGGGACCGUGCCUCCGAGGAGCGAGUGUUUCCUGUGAAAGUGAGCCCCCGGCAAGCCUGGGAAGAGGCUCACGCCUGCAAAUCCCUUGUCCGAGGGGCUCCCGAGUGCCUGCGAGGGCAACGCUGCUUUGCACAGAGCUGCUUGGCUGGGCUACAUUUGUGCCAAAUUAUGCUGCUCGUAGGAAUGGUUCGGCUGGUGCCGCUUUGCAAACUUUGUCCCCAGAAGUAGGGUUUGGGAUUGCUGCGUGCUGGGUGAAGACACGGAUGUCAGCUGUAAACCUGGAAAUGAAACAGUCUUUUACCUCUGUAUUUCCUUAGUGUUAACCAGCAGCCUGUAUUUCGCUGCACAGCGCACGCGGGAGAGGCGCAGGCUCAGCUUAGCUCCCGGUGGUUGGUGCUUCCCUGGCCAGCUCCAGGGUGUUCGGCUCGCCGCCCCGCUUCGCUGCAUGCACGGAUGUGGUUAGUAAACAGCAGUGCUUAAAUGCCGAAAGAAUGAUUCACGUCCCCAAACUGAGGACACAUUCAGUAUGUUUUAAUGAGUCCAGCCUCCUCUGCGGUCAGCUGGUGCUUAGCAUCGUUCAGUCCCCUCUGCUGCUGCUGGCCAGUCUCGCUCUCCUCUCGCUCGGCAAUAGUGAUGGGUUCGCUCCUACCUCUCCACGCACCAAAAGAGACAACUACAGCAACACCAUUUCAUGCACCACUUCAAGUCUUUGGUUUGCUGGGGUGAACUGGGAAUUGGGCUAUGUUCACAAGGCAUAUCAGCGGAAAACACAUGGAAACACUAGAGCAAGUUAUUUCUGCAGGGUCUUCCUGCUGCAUUUCCCAUCUUUGUGCAACAUUUAUUGAGUCUGUUUGGGUCAGAAACAAAGCCGAGGCUGAGAUGCAGAUAAAUAAACAAGAUAGGAAAAGCAAACUCAUGCUCAGCGGUUUGAAAGCAAUAAAGGAAAACUCCCUCAGUACUUGUAGUGAAUGUCAGCACAUUGCCCUUGGGCCUGUCCCAGCACCGAGCUCUGUUGCACUGCUCAGGGCCUGAGCCCAUUUUGAGUAUUUUGCACAAAUACAGACGACGGCAGGUAAUCAUUUUUACCUCCCAUUUUCGGAUGGAAACCUGCAUAUUUAAGCAUUUCAUCCCACUUCUGAGGAGGCUGCUGUGUCCUAUCAUCUCCUUUACAGGGUGUCCCCUUUCGUGAUGCCCACUUUUGCAGUGGCUGAUUGAGUGAUAGGAGGGAGUUUUUGCUGCCACGUUGCUUUGUGCCCGGUGGGGUAAAGCCUCCUUUCCGGUAACCCUUAGUUACCUGUUUGUGUGUGUCUUUGUGGCCUUGAGCUGGGUUUUGGAAAUGAAAGAGCGCGCCUGUGUUCCUGGUUGCCUUGCUUUCAGGGAUUCUUUAUUUUUAAAAUUGCAUUUAAUCACAAUACUCUAAUUAUAAAGUUUGGAAACUUAUUUUGAAUGUGAGUGAAUAGACUAAUUAGUUACAUUAAUUGGGUUUUAUUGCAUACACACAUACCUGUGGUUUGGCAGAAGAGCAGCCAACAAAAACUCUGACAACAAAUAUUUCCAGCCUGUCUUGUGGGUCUGAAGUGCCCGAGACUCCGGGGCUUACGGCUUCGUGUUGCAAGAGGGGAACCUGCGUCUUCUGCUGGUUUUCAUUAUCACUCACAUAAUCUCAUUUAUUGGGGAAUGUAAUAACUUUUCAAAAGCUGGAUAGGAAUCUGGUCCAAAGCACAUAACCAGUCUGCAAAAUGGCAAUUGCAAAGUGUGGAAAUGGUCUAGUCAAGGUAAAUUUUACAUUUUUAAGCUUCUUUUAAGUAGAAGAUAAACCUCAGGAAGUUUCAGAAAGCGAAAGGGCUUUAGCAGGGUGACAUUGCCUUGAAGAACACCAAAUAACAUCUCUAUUUUCCCUUUAAAUCAGCUGCCUUGGGAACCCACAUUACCAUUUCAUUGGUGACCUGCUUUGGAUUUAUCACCGGGAAAAAUCGACAUGCACUGAAUUGUCUCUAAUCCUUUCUGAGACAGAGGGGGGUGAAUGAGCUGGGAUUUUGUUUCUUUGUUGAAAUGAAAUGUAAUUACUUUAUGGGGUUUGCAUGGUGUGUUAAACUCUGCCAGUAGUAAAGCGUGAUACAAGUUAUAUAACUGUGCCGGUUGCUGGAGAUUUAUGGAAUAAAAAGUAUAAUUUCA